UCACUGGUAGUCCAAUGGCUAAGAUUCCGUGCUCCCAAUGCAGGGGGCCCAGGUUCAAUCCCUGGUCAGGGAA
rnacentral:tRNA from 1 species